GACGAACGCUGGCGGCGUGCUUAACACAUGCAAGUCGAACGAAGUGGCGAACGGGUGAGUAACGCGUAAUCAACCUGCCCUUCAGAGGGGGACAACAGUUGGAAACGCCUGCUAAUACCCCAUACUGACGACGGGGAUGGCGUCGGUUUAGCUAGUUGGAGGGGUAACGGCCCACCAAGGCGAUGAUCAGUAGCCGGUCUGAGAGGAUGAACGGCCACAGUGGGACGGAGAAACGGCCCAGACUCCUACGGGAGGCAGCAGUGGGGAAUCUUCCGCAAUGGACGAAAGUCUGACGGAGCAACGCCGCGUGAGUGAUGACGGCCUUCGGGUUGUAAAGCUCUGUUAAUCGGGACGCGGUACCGGAAUAGAAAGCCACGGCUAACUACGUGCCAGCCGCCGCGGUAAUUC
rnacentral:rRNA from 1 species